CAGUCGCCACGGUAAUACGUAGGGUGCAAGCGUUAACCGGAAUUACUGGGCGUAAAGCGUGCGCAGGCGGUUAUAUAAGUCAGAUGUGAAAUCCCCGGGCUCAACCUGGGAACUGCAUUUGAGACUGUAUGGCUAGGGUGUGUCAGAGGGGGGUAGAAUUCCACGUGUAGCAGUGAAAUGCGUAGAUAUGUGGAGGAAUACCGAUGGCGAAGGCAGCCCCCUGGGAUAACACUGACGCUCAUGCACGAAAGCGUGGGGAGCAAACAGGAUUAGAUACCCGCGUAGUCCCUGUCUCUUAUAC
rnacentral:rRNA from 1 species